UCUUUCCCGUAUCUUCCUUUUCAUUCAACUUACACUUGUUUUUUGAUCUCUCGCUUGUGCUUCGUCUCAGUUCAAAUCAAUGGGCGAUCAUAGUUUCUUAACGGCUGAGGAAAACGGCGGUGUUUAUUCAAGUGGUGGUGCUGUUAAUAGUAGUAACGUAUUGAACAUUUACCCACUGAAUCAUUACUAUUUUGGUUCAAAAGAGGCUGUUCAGUUUAAGGAAGAGACUUUAGCUGAUCGCGUUCUACGCAUGAAAUUGAACUACGAUACUUAUGGACUCAGGACCUGUGUACAAGCUGUGCUUUUGGUCGAGUUGUUCAAACAUCCACAUGUACUAUUAUUGCAAGUACGAAAUUCCAUGUUCAAGCUUCCAGGUGGUCGUGUUAGGCCUGGUGAAUCAGAAAUUGAAUGUCUAAGACGUAAGCUCUCAAGUAAGCUAUCCAUGAGCGAAGAUGACAGCUGGGAGGUAGGUGAAUGCCUUGGGAUGUGGUGGAGACCUGACUUUGAAACAUUGAUUUACCCGUUUAUGCCACCUGAUACAAAAAGGUCUAAGGAGUGCACAACACUCCUUUUAGUAAGGUUGACUUUCUAUCUUUAUAGGAGUGCACAAAACUGUUUCUUGUGAGGUUGCCCGAAAGUCGCAAAUUCAUUGUACCGAAGAACCUUAAGCUUCUAGCUGUUCCACUCUGCCAAGUUCAUGAAAAUUUCAAGACCUAUGGACCAAUAAUUGCCGGAGUUCCACAACUGCUGUCAAAGUUCUCCUACAACAUGAUGGAUUAUGUCUGACUGGUGCCAUAGUACAAGUUGAAGACAAACAUGGUGUUCGAUGCUAUUCCCGUCCCAGCACGACUAUUUUAAGUGCCAGAUUAAAGUUUAGAAACCGAUUACAAUAGUCACUUUCACAUGUAUAUAUACUAUGAGGAGUGUGUUUGUAAGCGAAGUCAAGACAUUCAGGUUUUUCUUUGUUUCUUCAUCUGCAGUGUAUGUUUGUAGUGAGCAAAACUAAUUGUCCACGAAAUAGUUUAACUGAUAAUAUCCGUGUGGUUUUGCAUAGUUUGGUUGUGAAACAACAAUCCUUUAUAGGAAAAUUUUCUAUUAACGUUA